AACUUUUAGCAAUGGAUCUCUUGGCUCUCGCAUCGAUGAAGAACGCAGCGAAAUGCGAUAAGUAAUGUGAAUUGCAGAAUUCUGUGAAUCAUCGAAUCUUUGAACGCACCUUGCGCUCCUUGGUAUUCCGAGGAGCAUGCCUGUUUGAGUGUCAUUAAUAUAUAUCAACCUCUCUUGUUGAGUGGUUUGGAUGUGGGGGGUUUGCUGGCCUGUUCAGCUCCUCUGAAAUAUAUUAGCAGAACAAACCUGUUCAUUGGUGUGAUAACUAUCUACGCUAUUGAAUGUGAGGUGUAGUUCAGCUUUCUAACAGUCCUUGGACAAUUUAUCAUUUAUGUGACCUCAAAUCAGGUAGGACUACCCGCUGAACUUAAGCAUAUCAAUAAGCGGAGGCU
rnacentral:misc_RNA from 1 species